GCCUUCUUAGCUCAGUUGGUAGAGCGUUGGUCUCAUAGUUCAUAUGACUCAGAAUAAUUCUGGGAUAUCCAAAGGUCGACAGUUCGAGCCUGCCAGAGGGCA
rnacentral:tRNA from 1 species